CGGCUGCCAACACGGCUUUUAAACUGACAGGGCAAGCGGCUUUUUUCCUCUGCCAGUGCGACUCUGAGGGAGAGGAAGCCGCGGAGGCGGCUGCAGCUGUCAGCCCCGCCUGGCUUUUAGGCAGGCCACACCGCCUCAGGGUGCAGCAGCCUCAUUCAUUCAAAAUACGGCUUAAGAAAGCUUUCUGCCUCCCUUCAGCCUAAGUGACCUGUUUUGCACAGUUGGUUAAGGUGUAGGGUUUGCAACUGCAAGGUUGCUGGUUCAGGUCCGUGGUGGAGUCUGUUUUGGCUUGGCGGAGGUUUUUGGGAAAAUUCAGAAGCUGAAGACUAUGGGAUUUUGUUUUUUGUUGUAAAAUUUGGCUUGCUUAGGAUUGGUUCUCUCUACAGCAAAACUUUUCCAUUUGGAAGAUUAUAGUUAAACUGGUUCCAGGGCCCAAAUAGUUAAUGGCAGCUAUCGAAUCCCCAAAGGCAUUUUCCUACAAGAGAAGCCGGGUUAGGGGAGAGGAGGCCCCGGUCCUGAGGGUAUUGUUCCAGCCUCAGCCAUGUGGCCUGCCUUCCUUAACUGUGUGCUCUAACGGCCCCUCCCUAGAAAUUUACCCUGCUGGGGCAGUUUUAUAAAUUGGCCUGUGUAAAUUGGACUUUUGCUGGGAAAUAUUGAUAUCCCCAUCACCUGAGCCUCACGGGUCUCGUCGGGGCUCACUGGUACAUGACUACUCAACCCAAUAGCCGCUGUUGUUCUAUGGCAAUCACUGCUAUGGCAAUCACUGGAGGUCAUGCAGGCAGUGAGAGUGGUCCAAUGAUGCUGGAAGGUCAUGAUCAAAUCCAGCACAUAGGAGGCCCUCUGAUAAGAUGGAUCAUGCAUCUUUGGCACAUGAAAUUUCAGAGUACUGACUGAAAGAUGUUUCAUUUCAGUACCAUUUUACCUGGGGGACGCCUCAGGUUGAAGUGGCUGUAUUUUCUUUAACCGGGGAUGCGGGCAUCCCUCGUGUUCAAUUUCAGAUGGGUCCUUCUAUUCCCAAGCUCAAGUCCCCAUUAAAGUGUAUACUGGAAAACUGGGACCAAUUUAACACACAGUCUUUAAGGAAGAAAUGACUUAUUUUCCUCUGCCAAACAGAGUGGCCAAAUUACCCUCUGCUGAGUGGAAAAUGUAGUCCCCAAAGGGAAGAGAAGACAAUCCAACAGCUUUCCUUGGGUGAUUGCAGGAAGCCUUAAGAAAGUACACCCCCAUCACCAGACUCCAUUAAGGAAGCCUUGGAUACCUACUGAAGGAAAGUCAUAGACCCUCCACUCCACAGCCUGAAGUUUCAGGAGACAACCCUUCAUAUCCCUGCGAACUAUUAGAAAAUCUACAUCUGCUUUUCCAACAAGAUCCUCAGGGAAGUAAUCACACAUAAGUCUGAUAUCCUGGCAUUAAUAGGACUAUAACCCUCAACUUUGCUAUCUCUCGAACUCUGAUUAUCCUUUUCAUGGUGAGAAAGGAACCUGUCUUUUCCUAGGAAAAAUGCUGCUAUCUUGUAAACCAGUGAAGUGUUGUUUUGAACAUAGAACUCAGAAAUCAAUCAAACAAAGGGCUAAAGACCUUCAAGAACCUGGCUCUGUUCUCUCCUAGGCUCGUUUAUAACCAACCAUUCUGUAUUUGUUGGCAUCUGGGCUUUUCAUCUUUAACCACAUUGUCACAUUCAUUUCUUAUAGAAACAUAAGGUCACAAAUAAUCCUGCCACUGGAUUCCUGGAUGUCCUUGGCUCAUGGACUCUAUCGUAGACCUCUAGAUCAACCUGCACCCCUGAAAGGCUCCCCUCUGGAGGAAACCUCAACUGCUGAGCCCCUUCUAGGCCCCAUUUCAGCAGGAAGUAGUUAAAGAGGAUCAACGCACGUGUUCUAGCAGAAGUUGGGCUUUCCUGUUCAGAGCAGGGGAAUGAGGGAAGGUGUUCUCUUUCCAGGUCCACAAGGGGGCGUAGUUUUAAGGGCAAGAACUUCCUAGUGCCAUGCCCCCCUCUCAUCUCUCUCCAUCUGGGAGAUUAAUGGUUAAGUUUGAAUUUCUCAGGCACGGGAAGAAACUAAGAGUCAAUCACUUCAGUGGAAGUUCUAAGGAACUCCUUUCAUUAGCCAGGGGUCUUAGAGAAGGUGGGGGUUUCUCCCAGGUUAAAAGGCCCUGUCUUCCACUCCCCUUCAGACUCCAUGUUUGGAUCCCUUUCCAUGAACACUCCCUUCAUGGACGCCAUCUUUCUCUCUCCUGGGUUUUCCCUCUGGAGUCCCCUUCCAUGAACACUCCCUUUGUGGAAGUCUGUCUUCCCCUCCCAAACUCCAGCUCUCUCUAUUCCCUUCCACUCAGUGUGGAAGCUGCUUUUGUCUCCUGGAUUCCAUCUUUCUGGAUUCUCUCACUCAGUGUGAGAGUUAGCUGUUUCUUUCUCUUUCCUUCUCCUGUUUCUUUCUCUCUCUCUCCCUAAAUAAACCACUUUUUACAAAUGCUUUUGAGUCCUGCAUUUACUGCUCAUUGAGCCGUGGUCCCCUCUCUUAUUCUUGAGAGGGCAGGAGGCCAAGAACCUGCAAAAACAUCCUCUUAAGGGAGCUAAGGGCACCCUGAACUCCUGAACCCCAAUAUUGCAACUUGACAAAGUUUAGAAUUCAGUUUUUAGUUAUGAGAGACUGUCCCAUCCCGGAUGGGAAUAGCAUUUUAACCAUGGCCUCAUUAACACCUUCUCAAUUUAGUUCACAAUCUAAAAAGAGAAGUAUUCCUAAAGAGUUAGAAUAUUUUGAUUCAAGUCAUAAAAAAGGAAAAUAUUCAGAGAGUAGAAAGGCACUUAUUGAUGUUCUUAAAUCUUCAGCCAUCAAGGGAGAGAUUCUCUGAAGCAUGGGAACAAGACAAGAGGUCACAUUGAUUUCCUGCCAGCGUUCACAGGCUAACCACCACAAACAUAGCAACAAUCAUCAGUGGGACUGUAUGCACUGGAAAAAUUGUGAAAAUCUAAGCAAAAUGACUUCUUGUGACUCACGUAAUUUUGGGCCCAGAUGACAAGGAUCAGCACUUCCACAGAAAUAAGUGACACAAAAAAGGUAAACAAACCUCAUUUUUUGACCCUCUGUAAAUAUCCUGGGGAUAAUAACACUCAAAAAUGCACUUCUUUAACAGUGAGAUUUGUAUUUUCCCAUUCGCAUUGCGACAUAACCAUGGUAUGAGAUCAAAUGUCUCCAGAGAUCUGAGCAUUCACCAAGUCAAAUUUCACAACCCUGUUAAUUUCUUCAUUUUCACAUUUUAAUCAACAUCACACUUAGAAGGAAAAAAUAUACAGUUACCAUUAUCAUCUGAAUAUCACUUUAUUUUCUCUUUUAUGGUAAUUUUGUGUGUAGUCCCUAACCUGUCAUUAAAGUGAAUUGAAAUAACACACAAAUAUAAGAUAACAGGAAAUCUGGGUAUGAAAUAGUGGCUUUAAACUUUAUUUUUCAGAAAUAAGAGUCUUUUCAUAUUGAUGUUUUCUCACUGUUUUUUUUUUUUCUUUCUGCUUGUCUGUUAGUGAGCAGGUUGUUGAACAAUGGAAAUUUUCUGUCUGAAAUGCAGGAAUUCUCUGAGAAUUCUAGUCACUGAGGUUUUUCUUCUACACUGUGAGUUUUAAAGAGUAACUUACCUUGCCGGUGCCUGUUCCAUAUUAAAUUUUAUGUGUAACAAUUAAAUUCCCCUCUGAGCCAUCUGGUUUAUUGGUUGUUUGAAUUUACAUUCUUCAACUUGUCCUCCCAAUUUACCCAUAGUGGGACCAGAUUUUCUGGUCGUUUUUCAUAAAUUCCCUGCAUGUAGCCAGUCCAGUAAACUCCCUGAUGAGGUGGCUAUAAUGUGGCUCAUACUUUUAAAGUUAUAUAUUCAUACAUUAGACCUCACAAGGAAACGUGUGUAGCUCUACUUCUGUGCAUACAAGUAAA